AAGAGAAGUAGAGAGAGAAGAGAAGAAGAGGGAAAAGAAGAGAGGAAGAAGAAGGAGAAGAGAAGAAAAGAAGAAGAGAGGGAAGAGGGAGAGGAAAGAGAGAUAGCUGCAGCAGCUAGGGCUGCAGCACCUCUAUUUCGUGUAGGAGGAAACAGAGGAGUUCAUGUGUGGGGCGUCGGGGAGGAGAAGGGAAGAAGAGAAGAAGAAGAGAAGCAGAGGAAGAGAAGAAGAAGAAGAAGAAGAAGAAGAAGAAGAAGAGGUGGUUGCGGCAAGGGCUGCAGCGAGGAGCUGUGGGGCGUUGGGGAGGAGAAAGGAAGAAGAGGAGAAGAAGAAAAGAAGAAGAAAAGGGAAAAGAAGAGAGGAGGAAGAAGAGGGAGAAGAGAAGAAUACAAGAAGAAGAAAAAGAGAGGGAAGUGGGAGAGGAGCGAGAGGUGGCAGCAGCUAGGGCUGCAGCACCUCUGCUUCCUGCAGGCAUAAACAGAGGAGACGAGGUGUUGGGCGUUGGGGAUGAGAAGAAGAAGAAGAAGAAAAAGAAGAAGAGAAAAAGAAAAAACAAGAAGGAUGGCUGCGGCAUGGGCUGCAGUGAGAAGGUGUGGAGUGUUGGGUAGGAGAAGGGAAGAAGAGGAGAAGAAGAAGAAGAGGAAGAUAAGAAGUAGAAGCGGGUGAAGAGGUGACACCUCUGUUUCCUGCAGGAGGAAACAUAGGAGAGGAGGUGCUGUUCGUCGGGGAGAAGAAGGGGAGGAAGGAGAAGAAGAAGAAAGGAAGGAGAAGGAAGAGGAGAAGGGAAAGAAGUAGCUGCGGCUGCGGCUGUGGCAGCUACAGCUGUGGCAGGGAAAGAGGAAGAGGAAGGAAGAAGGGAAGGAGAGGAAGAAGCGAAGGGAAAGAAGGGGCUGCGGCUGCGGCGAUGGCAGCUGUAGUUGGAAGAGAAGAAGGAGAGGAAGAUGAGCAGGGGAGGAAGAAGAGGCUGCAGCCGUGGCUGAGGCUGCGACUGCAGCAGUGCAGCUAGGAAAGAAGGAAAGGAAGAAUAAGAGAAAGGAAAAGGGAAGAAGAGAGGAAGAGAAGAAGGGGAGGCAGCUGUGGCAGUGGCAAUUGCAGCUGGAAGAGAAGGAGAGGAAACAGAGUAGGGGAGGAAGCAGAAGCUGCGAGUGUGGUGGCUGCGACUGCGGUUGCGGUAGUUGUGGCAACGGUGGUGGCUGCAGUAGUUGCUUUUGGGAAAGAGAAAGAAAGGAAAAGAAAAAAAAGGGGUCUGUGGCCGUGAUUGCGACUGCGGUGGUGGCGGCUGCGUCUACGGCAACUGUGUUUAGAAAAGAAAAAGUAGGAACGAGAGAAGGGAGGAAGGAAGUAGUGUAGGGGAAGGGGCUGCGGUUGUGAAAGUAGCUGCGGUCGUGGCUAUGACUGUGGUAGUGGCAGUGGCAAUGGCAAUGGCUGCGACAGUUGCGUUUGAAAAAGAAAACGAAGGAAUGAGAGUAAGAGAGAGCAGGUGACUAUGUCUCUAUGUUCUGCAUGAGUUGUAGUUGUGGAGAAAAAAGAGAAGACAUGUAGAAAACGAAACAGGGAGAGGACAUGGAGGAAAAGUAGAAGGAUUUGGGCUGACACCUUCUUUGGAUCUUCAGAUCAAAAUCUUUGAAAGACCCGACCUAGCACUUGGGCAGGGUGAGAGGGCUCGAGUAGGAAAGGGCUACCCAUGGAUGGAGUCGAGAACUCAUCACGACGUGGAGCCACCACUGAGUUAAACCUCAUAUGCACUAUGCUAGGGAUGCUUCGAUCAGGAUGAGACAAUUAAAGCAGGAAAAUCAUGUUGUGCCGAAGGAACAUGUCAGAAGAUUGGACAUCGGGCCGGUGGAUCGGUCGACGUAUCGACAGAAGGCUUCGGGUCGUGGACUCGGGCAUCGGGCCAAGAAGAGCGAGUAUUGUGCCAAGGAUAUCGGAGUUGCGGAGUCAACUGGCCGAUUGGGCAAUAGGCUGCAGGAGAGGACGAUGCGCCGAAGAAUCGGACGAUGCGCCGAAGAAUCGGACGAAGCGUCGAGGGACCAAUGACAUGCCGGACAACUGGGUUAAAUUGCUUAGGAUUAAUUGUCUCGAUCGAAGUUUUGUUUUAAGUGUGCAGGAUUAACUACGAUGAAAGUUAGACAAGCAGCAGGAGUUGCGCCGGAGUCAAGUUCAUGAUCAUGUUGGGAGUUCGAGAGUUCGACGGAAGUUCGGACGGUCGUCGGAGGUUCUGCGGGAACAGAUCCGAGAAGUCCAGAAGCUUGCCAAGCGAAGCUCGUCGGAACUCGCCAAGUGGAUCGUCGCAAGUCCAGGAGUUUGCCGAAAGUCCGCAGGAGGAUCACCGAUGGUUCAUCGGUUGAUCGACGGAAGUUCGCCGGAAACUCGCCGGAAGAAGCGAUUGACGCACCGAAGCAAAGCUGCAGAAAUUGUCUUAGAUUUAAUCGUAGUUAGCACGUUGAUUAAGUUGGAAAUGGGAGGUGAUCCCAUUAGCUUAAUCCAGGGGCAAUUGGGCCCCUGAAAAACUGAAAUUGGGCCGAAUGGAGCUAACCAUUCGGACCCUGAUUGCAUCAGUAGGUGCAACCGCCCAAGCCAGGAGGUUGCAUCGCCCAGUCUCCCUGCUACCUCCUGGGCUCAGUCUCCGAGCGAGACUGGGCGGUGCAACCUCCCCUGACAGAGGUAGCACCACCUGGGCUCGGUCUUUGAGCUCUGGCAGGAGAGGUGCAACCGCCUCAGUCAGGAGGUGGCACCGCCUGGGGCUCAGUCUCCGAGCCAUACUCAGGCGGUGCAACCGCCCCUGACAGAGAGGUGCAACCGCCUGGGCUCAGUCUCCAAGCUCUGCCAGGCGGUGCAACCUCUCCAGUCAGGAGGUGCAACCGCCUGAUCCCGGAAUUCCGGGAUUUGAUCGUUUUGAGCUCCAAAUUUGAACUAGGUUGGGGCCUAUAAAUACCCCACCCAUUCAGCACAAAAACAACAUAGACCUACACCGAAAUCUUGAUUCUUUCUGUGAUUCUAAGAGCUCAAAAUUGUUGUAAAGCCUUUAAGUCUCCUCCUUCUGUUCUUUAAGCUUCUGAAUUGUAAAAGUGAGGAGAGAAAGGUUCUGUAAGGGUUGUCUCCUGAGCCCAUCAAAAGGAGUGAAACUGUAAUAGGGCAGUUGGCCUUCGCCCAUUGAAGGAAGGCAGCUAGUUGACGUCGGUGACCUCGUCGGAGGAGGAAGCCAAAAGUGGAGUAGGUCAAGACUGACCGAACCACUCUAAAUCUCUAGUUUGCUUUUAUUUCGAGUACCUUAUCAUUACUGCAAACCUCCUACAUAACUACUCCUCUCUGCGCCUUUACGAACAAGUUCUAAGUGCUGAUCUUUUCGAAUCUGCAUUCAGACGUAAAUCUGUGUUUUUCGUACGAUCAGCUUACGUUUGUGUUUUGAUUCUGCAAAACUGUCUUCUGCGCUUUUUAUGAACUAGCUUCUAAGUUUAGAUCCCUUUGAAACUAUUUUAGACGCAAACUACGUUUAGACGUAAAACUGCGUUUAGACGCAAACUGCGUUUAGACGUAAAACUACGUUUAAACGUAAACUGCACAAAUUAUGUUUAAACAUAAAACUGUAUUUUAGACAUAAACUUCUUUUAAACGUAAAACUAUGUUUAGACGUAAAACUGCGUUUAGACGCAAACUACGUUUAGACGUAAAACUGCGUUUAGACGUAAAUUGAGUUUAGACGCAAAACUGUGUUUAGACGCAAACUGCGCAAACUGUGUUUAGACAUAAAACUGUGUUUUAGACGUAAACUACUUUUAGAUGCAAACUGUGUUUAGACGUAAAACUGCGUUUAGACGUAAACUGAGUUUAGACGCAAAACUACGUUUAGACGUAAAACUAUGUUUAGACGCAAAACUGCGUUUAGACGCAAACUGUAUUUAGACGCAAACUCAGUUUAGACGUAAACUGUGCUUAGAUGUAAACUGCGCUUAAUCUUAAGUAAUCUUAGAAUCGGCUUUUACAUCGAAAUUGUUUUUAUUGGACGAAUGCAGCUUUCGUUUUUAAAUCGUUGAAAGAUUUCCGCUGCACUAAUUCACCCCCCCCUCUUAGUGCUCUCGAUCCUAAAAAAGUUGUCACUCUUUGAGAUGUUUUGAAUUGGGCUGAGGCAGUGGAGAGCUAUUCAGAAUUAUGGGCAAGUCUUGUUGGUUAUUAUGUUAUUGUCAUAUAAGCAUAUUUUGUAUGUAAUGAAAUAUUGUCGAUGAACCGAAAUAGAUAUACCUUGUAAAAGUGUUAGAAGAUUUCUCUUAUUUGGAAUUUCGGAAUGUUGAGUCUAGUUUACGAUGAUA